rnacentral:tRNA from 1 species
GAGGAAAAUCCGUCGAUUUUCAAAAUCGUGAG